GAGGAAACAUUCUAGGAUCUAUCCUUGUUGUGCAGUGUGACAUCCAACGUUUUGUUGGUUUGUUACACUGCCUCUGUACACCUCACCUAGCCAUAGAAUAAUACAGAGGUACAUAGUACCAGUGUUAUGAAGUGACUUCAAUGUUACCAAACAUACACUGGCCUCCGAACCCUCAAACAUUU